AAAGAAUCAAUUUUACCUCCUCUAGAAUUAUUUUUCUAAUUUGGCCCUCCAAACCAAAAUUCCUAGGGCAGGCACGGCAUCAAAUUAAGGUUUUAAUGUGAGAUACAAACUGGGGCAGGCAGGCACCAACCUGCGCCUGAUAAGGGCAGGAAGCUUUAUCACUUCAUUUCCAAAACUUUUUAUCUGUAACAUCAUAUACGAGAUCUGAUUGAUUAACAAGAGAUCAGCCGGAUGAGUGAGGUCAGCAGCAACCAAAAGAACACCAAUAAUGCCGCAACUAACACCAGUGAAGCCCCUCGUGAACGGGGAUUUGGGCGGCCUUCUGGGCCAAUGGCGCCGCCCAAGAGAGGAGGUAUAAAGAAGAAGAUGUGGGAGGAUUUUACUGGUAAACCCUCCCCUUCCAACCCUCCAGCUGGUACUACUUAGAGUUCCGCAUGAUAUAUAUUUGCCUUGAUUGCUGUACGUGUACAUAUGUUUGUCCUUUAAUUAGUUGGGGUUUGUGCGCUUCUCUUUUCUUGUAGUAACUGCCGUGAUCUCCAGCUUAGCUUAAUAGAGUUGCUGGGAUGAAGAAUAGGAGCUUUUUUUUUUUUUUUUGGUUUAAUCCGAGGAAUAAUAGGAGCUCGAGCUCAUAGUUAUCGUGUGCUAUAUAUAUGGGCUGAAUUCUUCUAAUGUGGCAGGGAUAUCCUUUAUAAUGUUGUUUAUUAACCGAGCAUGACUUGAAUAUAUGUAUUAUAUUGCCAGUGGCCUUACGAUUUGGUUUCUUGGCCCCUGGUUAAGUACUUAAAUCCCUUGUUUUAAUCUUCUCUGUAUAAUUUGAAUUUGAUCUAAUGUCGCAUGUUUUAUUGAA